GUCAAAUCGCGAAUUUGGACUUCAUACGAAUCAAUGCAUGGAGGAAUUAGGCGGAACUAACGAAACUGAAAGUGUUUGGCGGAAGCAAUUGGCUGACGGAGCUUGCCGAGGAGAUACGGAACUUGCCGAGGAGAUACGGGAAGUGCCGAGGAGAUACGGGAAGUGCCGAGUGAAUGCGGAAAGAAAAAAAACUCACAUGGCAAGUGCAUGCAUGCAGACGCGCUGUGAAAGCUGAAGAACGCGAUCGCUGCAUUAAUAAACUUUCACGAUUGCAUGCAGAAAGUUUUAAGCUGCAGUGUGUAAGGAAGGGAAGGCACAUCAGCACUUGGUCAUCUCAGGGACACUGAUGGUAUGAGAAUUGACUAUUUCUAAUUACAAGGACUGCCACAUGCAUUGCCUUAUUCAUAAUAUAUGUGCAAUAUAAAAGACAGCUACUAUUUUGUUGCACUGUAGUUCAUUAUUUUGUGCAUUAUAAUACUUUGUGCACAAUAUUAAGUUAAUCAUGCUGUUCAUUUAUGUAAAUAGUUUAUGUAAAGUGAAAUGCUUGCAUUAAUAUUAAGAAGUAUUAUUUUAAUAUGCAAAUUAAUAAUGCUGAGACAAAAUUUGUGAAGGAACUGUCUUUAUUUAUAUUACAUUGUGUUUGUUUAAGUCAGUAUUGCGAAUAAUGUAUAUUUUAUAUAUUUUGUUCCUUUUCUAAGGUUAUCAACCUAUUGCUAUCGCUGCUACUGGUAUCGCUACUACUGUUCAAGCGCUACAGUAUUGUAUUAUUGGGCAAACUGAAAGUUAAAAUACAAAAGCUGAAAAGCCUUGGAGUUGUUCCCUGUGUCCCCUGUUAUUGGCUGAAGCUCUUUCGAGUUAGAAGCAGAUACUGGUGUGUGUAACCCAUAAGAACUCGACAGUUGAUAACCAAGAGUGUAGCAGCUGGACAUAAAGAUCAACGGCUUUGUGACGUCCAAAGACAAAGUUCUGCUGACACCAAGUGAAAGAAAAAUUCAAGGAAAAUGGCUGAGGAAGCAUUAGGAAAAUCAGUUAAACAGCUAAAAAAGGAAAGAACCACUGCAAAAAGUAGCUUUACCAAACAAGCUAACUUUCUCUGUAGAGAAGCACACCGACUUAUAGAAUCAGAGCUAAAAGAAGAAUUUAAAAAGCUUUCUUCUGGAGCAAGAAAAGUGUUUGAAACUAAUGAUGACUAUAAAGCUGGAUUAAUAGCAGAGAUUGAAGCUACAGAAGAUGGUGCAGAGGUACAACUUUCAGCACAGCAAGAAGCUGACUUUAAGAAAGCUGUGGAAGAAUGUAAUGCAAAGUUUGACGAAGUAACUGAGAUAGUACAAGAUAAUCUCUGGCAAAGAUAUGGACAAAGUGAUGUGUUAACCACAAUUUCAGCAGCUGAAAAAGCCUGCGAUCGCACAGCCGCUAUGCCUGUUGAUGGCACUGGAUAUGAAAGUUAUGAAGUGCAACUGGAGCUCUCAAUGAGACUGGUGAAAGAGGCAACUGUAACUUUGCUAAAAUGGGAAAGAUGGAUUCCAGCACCUGAGAGAAAGGAUCUUGAAAGUCAUGUUCGCAAACUGAAAGAGUGUAGCAAUGAGCUUGAAUCAAGAAAAGCUGAAUUCGCUUGGGCCCGAAGAGCUGCUGAAGAUACACAAGCAUUAGACACGAGUAUGACAAACAAUCCAAACAUAAUGGUACCUGCAGGACAGAUCAUACCAGUGGUAAAAAUUAAACCAACAAGUCUACCUAAAUUCACUGGUAAUAAGAGAGAUUACUAUCGUUGGAAGAGAGACUGGGAAAAUCUCCAGAAGCAAGGUGAGCCCACUGGGUCUGUUGAAGUGAAAAAGAUUCAGUUAGUGGAUAGCGUGGAUGACAGAAUCGCAAAAGAGCUCAGAUUGUCUUCCUACAACACUGCUGAUGACAUAUUCAGGGUGUUAGACAACCGAUACGGUAACAAAAUUACAAUUGCCAUGGAAAUUGUAGAGGAACUAGAGAAAAUGCCAGCUUUGAGAGGAAACCAACCAAGAAGGGUAAUAGAAUUAAUCCAAAUGGUGGAAAAAGCCUUGGCUGAUCUCACAGAUCUUGGAAACGUUGGAGCAAUGAAGAAUCCUCUUGUGAUAAAAUCCAUCGAAAGCAAGUUACCUGAACUCUUAAAAAGAGAAUGGCUCGUAUAUAUGACAGAUCCUGCAAAUAACAUCACACCAGACAAACACUUUGAUGAGCUGUUACAAUUCCUUCAGAAACAGGAAGAUGUGCUUGAAAGGCUGGAACAACUUAGGAUCUCAGAAAGAGUGGAAAAGCCAGAAAGAAAAUUUGAAAAGAAUUACGCUUUUACUAGAACGACAAAGAAAGACUCCACAGAAGCUGGUUGCAUCGUGUGUGGGGCAGAGAAACAUAGAGACAGGAUUUUCUUCUGCAGAAAAUUUAAAGACUUGAAGCUGACAGAGAAGAAAUCUAUCAUCAGGAAACUAGGAGCAUGCAAAAAGUGCUUGGGAGUUCAUGAGGAUGACAGCAGGUGCAGUGAUAACUACCUUUGCAGAAACAAAGAUUGCAAAAAAGGAGACUUCUCAGACCACCAUUACUUCCUCUGUCCAAAAUGGGACCUCAAGAACCUGAAUGAAGGGAAAACCAUCAGUAAAGAUAGUAGAAAAGGAAGUGGAUUGACUGCAGAGCAGGAACAUUUCCUGGCUGAACUUUCUCCAGAAUUGGCUGAGAAGUGCAAAAAAGCAUUCACCAACAAAGUUAAGAUGAUAAACUGCUCAGGAAAUGACCAGCAGGGAUUGGUCAGUAAUAGUGGAUUAAAGGAGCUUCCUGUUAUCAUGAUGCUGAUGGAAGUAACCACGAAUGCAGGACAGAAGAUUGGCGCUUUGAUAGAUCUGGCUUCUGAUACAAACUAUAUCACCCAUGAAGCUGCUGAAAGACUUAAGCUGAGAGGUGAAAAAAUCACUCUAGUGGUUCAUGGAGUUGGCAAGAUGGCGAUCAGAGUAAGCACAAAUAGAUACCUUCUCAGGAUUAGAGUCAAAACUCCUGAGGGGACAGUGAAGGCUCAUCAGUUGAUCUGCUAUGGUUUGGAAGAAAUUGCCAAAGUUCAUAGAAUCGUAAGUCAAGAGAAACUUAGAGAAUUCUUUCCAGAGGUGGAAUUAGAAGAACUGAAAAGACCAGGAAAAAUAGAUCUCCUCAUCAGUCACCGAGAGGGCAGACUCGCUCCACAAAGAGUGAAGAUUGUUGGGGAUCUUGUCCUGUGGGACAGCCCGCUGGGGAAAACAGUGGCUGGAGCACACCCUGAUUUGUUUGAAGUGGUGGAUAUGGCUGCAUACGAGUCCAAAACACAUUUUGCUCGGUCCAUGAGAACAGCUGCAGCCAGGUAUGAAGAAAUCAUAGAAAAAGCAGAAAGACCAGCAAUUACUGAUAUUGUCAAAGAAGGAAAGAGCCCAAGAAGUUCACUAGCAAGCAACAGAGAGUUUAUUGACUGGUGGAAAUGGGAUAGUAUUGGCACAGCUUGUGAGCCAAAAUGUGGAGGAUGUCGCUGUGGAAACUGUCAGCCUGGAGGGAAGGAGAUGACCCUAGCAAAAGAAAGAGAACUAGAGAUUAUAAGAGAGGGUCUCACAUAUGUUGAAAUGGAUACCCACAGCACAGCUCCACACUGGGAUACAAAGUAUCCAUGGAUUCAGGACCCAGCUACACUUCCUUACAACAGAAGUGGAGUAGAAGCUGCUUUCCUCAGAACAGAAAAGCAACUGAAAAAGGUACCAGAAUGGCAGGACAUUUAUGCAGCUCAAGUCCAUGACAUGGUGAAAAGGGGUGCAGCAACAAAGCUUACUAAACAAGUAAUUGAGGAAUGGAAGGGACCUGUUUGGUAUGUUAGUCACCUGGUAGCACCAAAUCCGCAUUCAACUACCACUCCAGUGCGACUUGUCUGGAACAGUAGUCAGAAAUUCAAAGGGCUAAGCAUGAAUGAUCUUCUGUUAAAAGGACCAGAUGUACUCAACCCAAUCAGAGCUGUCUUGCUAAGAUUCAGGAAGGGAGUAUUUGCUGCUCUUGGAGACAUAAAAAAGAUGUACAAUUCAGUGUGGCUGGAAGAGCGUGAGGUUCAUCUUCACAGAUUUCUCUGGAGAGACACUCAAGACGAAGAAAUAAGUGAGUACGCUAUCACUAGAGUUAACAUUGGAGAUCGUCCUGCUGGAUGCAUUGCACAGUUAGCUAUGCGUGAGACAGCUAGGCUGGCAAAGUUUGCUCAUUUAAAAGAAGAGUGCAGAGUCCUUGAGGAGGACAGUUAUGUGGAUGACAUCCUUACAUCCCAUAAUAGCCAGGAGAGACUGAAAGAGAUAACAAAUGGGCUAGAGGAGAUUCUAGCAGCUGGCGGAUUUGCACUGAAACCAUGGGUUCGGUCGGAGCAAAGUGGGAGGAAUGAAGUGGUUGAUCCAAGUCAAGUUCCAAAAGAAUCAGUCUCUCAAUCUAAAACAAUCAUACUACCAAACCAGCUACGAGAUGAAGACAACAAGGCUUUGGGCAAAGGGUACUUGGUAGAGGAGGAUAAGCUGUACAUCAUGGCUUCCAUUAAUUUCUCAGUAAGAAAGAAGAAAAUGAGAACGGGUCAGAACCUCUUAAAAAGUGAGGUGAGAUUGAGAACACCAAACCCUUUGACCAGAAGGCACCUGUUAAGCCAAGUUGCUGGCCUCUAUGACCCAGUUGGUCUUGUCACUCCUGCCAAACAGAAGGGUGCAAUUCUUGUCAGGAAAGCUUUCCAAGAGAUAGGAAAGGGGAGUCUAACCCGUGAGACAUGGGACAUGCCACUUUCUGAAAACCUCAGGGAAGAAGCUAUCAGAUUAUUUGAGGAAUAUGUGCAGCUUAAUCAGGUCAAGUUCCACAGAAGUCUUACACCUCCUGGCUGGAAAGGAAAACCCUGGGGAAUCACUUUCUCAGAUGGUAGUGAUAAAACAUAUGGAGCUGUAUUGUACCUAAGAUGGAAUACAGACCAGGGGAUAGACGUCAGACUAGUUGAAUCUAAAGCAAAACUAACACCACUAGACCAGAAAGGAGAUGCUGUGAAGGCUGAAAUCUGCGGUGCAGUUUUCGCUGCACGACUCAGGAAGUACUUUGAAAAGCAUGGGCGGAUGGAAGUGGAGCGCUGGUUUCACCUGGUAGACAGUCAAACGGUGCUGGGGGCCAUUCAACGUGAUAGCUAUGGCUACCAAACUUUCUUUGCAAAUAGAGUUGGAGAAAUCCAAAAGUCUGGAUCAGUAAGUGACUGGUGGUGGAUACCAGGGGAUGUCAAUAUCGCUGACAUCAUUACUAGAGGAGGCACUCCUGAAGAUCUUGCUGAAAAGUCCGAAUGGCAGGAGGGACCACAAUUCCUCAGAUAUUCAGUAGAGGAGUGGCCAAAGAAAUCAGCUGCUGAGGUUGCUGCUGAUGCCAAGGAGAAUGUUAACAAACUUCAACGGAAAACAUUCUCAGCAGUUCUGACAAGAUCUCAAACAAAGAGGGACCUGGCAGAAGCAGGUAAAGGAAUUCCUGAAGUUUCAAUCCUUGGUGAUUCAAUCAAUGUUGUUUCUGACUCUGGUGAAAAUGGAAAAAGACCAAACUUACCAAAAGGAACACCUCGUGACUUAAUUAUUAAGAAACUAGUGGAUGAGGAAAAAUACAGCAAUUUAACCAAGCUAGUCAGAGUCAUCGGCUGGGUUUGGCGUGCUGUAAAGAAGUGGCUAGGAUUCAGGGAUCAGGACUCAAAUGAGAGAAAAAGAAAAGAAGUGUUGCAAAACAAGAUCAAACAAACCAUGCUGACUGUGAAAGAGGAAGAGUAUAUUCUGAAAGAACUCUUUCUAGCUGCUCAACAGGGUGUGACUUUUCCCGACACUACACUUAGCAGACUGGCUGUGUAUAGAGAAAAUUCAGGACUCUUGGUUUGUGGUGGAAGAAUACAGAUCUUUAAUGAAGAAAAGAUUGCAGUCCCAAUAUUACCUUGUAGUGCAUGGGUGUCCAUGUUAUUAGCCCGAGAAGCCCACAGUGCAAAUCAUGAGGAGGUAGCAGGGACACUUCUAAGAAUGAGGAAAAAAGCGUGGGUGAUUAAAGGUCGGAGACUAGCCAAGAAAGUUGUAGACAGCUGUGUGAUCUGCAGGAAGGCAAGAGCAAAGAGAUGUGAGCAAAUCAUGGCAGACCUUCCUCCUGAAAGGACAGAACCAGCAGCACCCUUUGAAUACACAACUUUAGACCUGUUUGGACCAUACAUAGUAAAGGAUGAAGUGAGGAAGCGAGUACAUCUCAAAGUUUGGGGAAUCGUUUACUGCUGUAUGGCAUCUAGAGCGAUACACACUGACAUUGUGAGUGACCAAUCUGCUGAAGGGUUUAUGCUAGCCUACCAAAGAUUCACGGCUUUGAGGGGUCAUCCAAGAAAAUUAUGGUCCGACCCCGGCUCAAAUUUUAUCGGAGUUAAACCUGCUCUCACAGAACUUUACAAGUUCCUGGACAAGUUAGAAACAUCUGAGCUAGAGGCAGAAGCUACUAAACACGGAACUGAAUGGGUUUGGAAGAUCCAUCCUGCAAGUUCUCCUCACAGGAACGGAGCAGCAGAGGCCGCUGUUCGCAUAGUAAAGCGAGCCCUUCACAACUUGGGAGGUGAUGGUGUUUUCACUUGGAGCGAAUUUCAAACAUUCCUUUAUAUGGCAGCUAACCUGGCUAAUGAGAGGCCUAUUGAUGCAAGGACGCAGAGCAGAGAGGAUUGUGUAGAAUAUGUCAAUCCCAACUCUCUCCUGUUAGGAAGAUCUGGACCAAAGGGAGACCCAGGUGACUUUGAUUUUGUUGGCUAUCCUUAUAAAAGAUUAAAAGUCAUCCAAGGAGAAGUUAACAAAUUCUGGAGGAAAUGGAGUCAGUUAGCAGGGCCAAACUUGUUUGUAAGAAACAAAUGGCACACCAAGGAAAGAAAUGUUGCUGUUGGAGAUGUCGUCUGGUUAGCAGACCAAAAUGCACUGAGGAGUCAGUACAAGUUGGCCAGAGUCAUCCAAGUCAAUGCUGAUGACAAAGGUAUUGUCAGAGAUGUGAAUGUUAAAGUCUUCACAAGCUACCCAGUCUCAAACGUAAAGCCUGCUAAAGCCAAAGUCACAACCAAAAAGUUGACUGACAGAAUCCCUGCAACUAUCCUCCACAGAGACGUAAGACGUUUAGUUGUCUUAAUACCUAUAGAGGAACAGCACUAAACACGCACUAAAUUCUGUGAACAACUUGGGUUCAAAGAACCAGUAGUUCAAGUGGGAGGUGUAAAGUCAAAUCGCGAAUUUGGACUUCAUACGAAUCAAUGCAUGGAGGAAUUAGGCGGAACUAACGAAACUGAAAGUGUUUGGCGGAAGCAGUUGGCUGACGGAGCUUGCCGAGGAGAUACGGAACUUGCCGAGGAGAUACGGGAAGUGCCGAGGAGAUACGGGAAGUGCCGAGUGAAUGCGGAAAGAAAAAAAACUCACAUGGCAAGUGCAUGCAUGCAGACGCGCUGUGAAAGCUGAAGAACGCGAUCGCUGCAUUAAUAAACUUUCACGAUUGCAUGCAGAAAGUUUUAAGCUGCAGUGUGUAAGGAAGGGAAGGCACAUCAGCACUUGGUCAUCUCAGGGACACUGAUGGUUAUCAACCUAUUGCUAUCGCUGCUACUGGUAUCGCUACUACUGUUCAAGCGCUACAGUAUUGUAUUAUUGGGCAAACUGAAAGUUAAAAUACAAAAGCUGAAAAGCC